CAAAAGUUUGGUCCUGACUUUACUAUCAACUCUAACCUAAUUUACACAUGCAAGUCUCCGCUCCCCCGUGAGAAUGCCCUUAAUGUCCUGAAAGGAAUUAAGGAGCAGGCAUCAGGCGCGCCGAUGCAGCCCACAACGCCUUGCUCAGCCACACCCCUACGGGUAUUCAGCAGUGAUAAAAUUUAAGCCAUAAGUGAAAACUUGACUUAGUUAAGGCUAAGAGGGCCGGUAAAUGCUCGUGCCAGCCACCGCGGUUAUACGAGCGGCCCAAGUUGAUAAAAAACGGCGUAAAGCGUGGUUAAAAAAUGUUAAAACUAGAGCCGAAUAACCUCAAAGCAGUUAUACGCAUUCGAGACCACGAAGCACAAUUACGAAAGUAGCUCUACCCGUCUUUGACUCCACGAAAACCAUAAAACAAACUGGGAUUAGAUACCCCACUAUG
rnacentral:rRNA from 1 species